rnacentral:rRNA from 1 species
CAGCCGCCGCGGUAAUACGAAGGGGGCGAGCGUUGCUCGGAAUGACUGGGCGUAAAGGGCGCGUAGGUGGUACGGACAGUCAGAUGUGAAAUUCCCGGGCUCAACCUGGGGGCUGCAUUUGAUACGUCCGAACUAGAGUGUGGAAGAGGGUCGUGGAAUUCCCAGUGUAGAGGUGAAAUUCGUAGAUAUUGGGAAGAACACCGGUGGCGAAGGCGGCGACCUGGUCCAUUACUGACGCUGAGGCGCGAAAGCGUGGGGAGCAAACAGGAUUAGAUACCCCCGUAGUCCCUGUCUCUUAUAC